rnacentral:rRNA from 1 species
UACGUAGGGUGCGAGCGUUGUCCGGAAUUAUUGGGCGUAAAGAGCUCGUAGGCGGCUUGUCACGUCGGUUGUGAAAGCCCGGGGCUUAACCCCGGGUCUGCAGUCGAUACGGGCAGGCUCGAGUUCGGUAGGGGAGACUGGAAUUCCUGGUGUAGCGGUGAAAUGCGCAGAUAUCAGGAGGAACACCGGUGGCGAAGGCGGGUCUCUGGGCAUUACCUGACGCUGAGGAGCGAAAGUGUGGGGAGCGAACAGG